CCUACGGGUGGCAGCAGUGAGGAAUAUUGGUCAAUGGGCGGGAGCCUGAACCAGCCAAGCCGCGUGAGGGAAGAAGGUACAGCGUAUCGUAAACCUCUUUUGUCAGGGAACAAAGGCGGGGACUAGUCCCCGGAUGAGGGUACCUGAAGAAAAAGCAUCGGCUAACUCCGUGCCAGCAGCCGCGGUAAUACGGAGGAUGCGAGCGUUAUCCGGAUUUAUUGGGUUUAAAGGGUGCGCAGGCGGCCUGUUAAGUCAGCGGUAAAAGCCCGGGGCUCAACCCCGGCGAGCCGUUGAAACUGGCGGGCUGGAGGUGGAGAGAAGUACGCGGAAUGCGCGGUGUAGCGGUGAAAUGCGUAGAUAUCAGGAGGAACACCGGCGGCGAAGGCGGCCUGCUGGACCGCGACUGACGUUGAGGCUCGAAAGCGUGGGGAGCGAACAGGAUUAGAUACCCGGGUAGUC
rnacentral:rRNA from 1 species